rnacentral:rRNA from 1 species
AUUGAACGCUGGCGGCAGGCCUAACACAUGCAAGUCGAACGAGUGGCGGACGGGUGAGUAAUGUCUGGGAAACUGCCUGAUGGAGGGGGAUAACUACCGGAAACGGUAGCUAAUACCGCAUACCAUCAGAUGUGCCCAGAUGGGAUUAGCUUGUUGGUGGGGUAACGGCUCACCAAGGCGACGAUCCCUAGCUGGUCUGAGAGGAUGACCAGCAACACGGAAACUGAGACACGUUCCAGACUCCUACGUGAGGCCGCCGUGGGGAAUAUUGCACAAUGGGCGAAAAGCUGAUGCAGCCAUGCCGCGUGUAUGAAGAAGGCCUUCGGGUUGUAAAGUACUUUCAGCGGGAAGGCGUUACCCGCAGAAGAGGCGCCGGCUAAAUCCGUGCCAGCAGCCGCGGUAGAUC